UGCCAGCAGCCGCGGUAAUACGGAGGGUGCAAGCGUUGUUCGGAAUUACUGGGCGUAAAGCGCGCGUAGGCGGCUAUUUAAGUCAGAUGUGAAAGUCCACGGCUCAACCGUGGAAUUGCAGUCGAUACUAUUGGUCUUGAAUGCCUGAGAGGGUAUCGGAAUUCCCAGUGUAGGAGUGAAAUCCGUAGAUAUUGGGAGGAACAUCCGAGGCGAAGGCGGAUACCUGGUGGUGCAUUGACGCUGAGGCGCGAAAGCGUGGGGAGCAAACAGGAUUAGAUA
rnacentral:rRNA from 1 species